rnacentral:rRNA from 1 species
UACGUAGGGGGCAAGCGUUGUCCGGAUUUAUUGGGCGUAAAGAGCUCGUAGGCGGUGUGUCGCGUCGGCCGUGAAAACCUGCAGCUUAACUGUGGGCGUGCGGUCGAUACGGGCAUCACUGGAGUUCGGCAGGGGAGACUGGAAUUCCCGGUGUAGCGGUGAAAUGCGCAGAUAUCGGGAGGAACACCGGUGGCGAAGGCGGUUCUCUGGGCCUGUACUGACGCUGGAGGAGCGAAAGCGUGGGGAGCGAACAGG